rnacentral:rRNA from 1 species
UAGGGAAUCUUCCACAAUGGACGAAAGUCUGAUGGAGCAACGCCGCGUGAGUGAUGAAGGGUUUCGGCUCGUAAAACUUUGUUGUUGGAGAAGAACGGGUGUCAGAGUAACUGUUGACAUCGUGACGGUAUCCAACCAGAAAGCCACGGCUAACUACGUGCCAGCAGCCGCGGUAAUACGUAGGUGGCAAGCGUUGUCCGGAUUUAUUGGGCGUAAAGCGAGCGCAGGCGGUUUUUUAGGUCUGAUGUGAAAGCCUUCGGCUUAACCGGA